UGCCCUGUCGUCCAACGGUAGGACUCCAGAUUCUGGAUCUGGCUAUCUAGGUUCGAAUCCUAGCGGGGCAGCCA
rnacentral:tRNA from 1 species